rnacentral:sRNA from 1 species
CCUACUGUUUAAACUUUAAGAUGAUCCCUAACUGGCUUAAAGUCCUCAACCCACAGCGGAGGAAAACGUUGCAGAAAAAAAAAAAAAAAGAAAAACAAGGUCAUGCUGCAUUUUUUUGGUAAGCACAGGAAUCAACAUAGAGAUGUUAUGUAACUUCUAUUUAUAUCCUCCUUGCUCACUAUCUGCAGGCAGACAAGAGUCGCUGAGAAGGGAUUUAAUGAGCUCUCUGGGUUUGCUCACCUUCCUGAGCUGGUAGGAACCAGCUUGUUCUCAAGUGCGUCAGCAAAGAAUCUGCCUGUGGGUGGGCGGCCGGGGUAGGUGGACAGACUUGUUGCCAUGGUGUUCUUUAAUUCCCCUGUCUCUCAG